UACAGGCUAUGUGUCAAAAUACAACAUGUGUAGAGGAUGGGAAGAGUCCUUGGUGGGAUGCCUUCAGUGCCGCAUGUAAGCAGGAGGGCAUACAACUUGAAAAGGAGAUAUUUCCUGCAGGGACUGAUAGUCGAUUUUUAAGAGAACUUAAUAUCCCAGCCCUCGGAUUUUCCCCAUGAACAAAACACCAAUUCUUCUCCACGAUCACAACGAAUAUCUGAAUGAGAACAUCUUCUUGCGGGGAAUAGAGAUUUACAUGACUAUUCUGCCUGCUGUUGCAAAUGUGAAAUUCUGAAGUUGGGGAAAUUUGAAUUUCUUGAAGGGGAUGCCAUUACAGCACAAGACCAGCUAAAAGGGAAUUCUUUGGCAUUAGUCUGGUCACCAUGGAGCUCUGGAUAGCUCAAUCCUUGAGGACGAGACAGUGACUACACCAUCAAAAAAAAGUUUAUUGGAAUGUGUUGCAGGAUGAGUCAAACUGGAUUUUAGCAAAAAUUCAAAGAAAUUUUCUGUUAUGUAGGGUUACAGUACAGACACCACCCUACUUAAGAACAUUUAGCUUACAAACUAAAUAGUGUUCAGAGCACUCUCCUUUGUCACCCACAAGUCAAAUUUUGUUCUGUGCGCCUAUUCUGUACAUACAGUGUUGUUUGUACAGUGUAUUGUGUUUUAGGGGGAAAAAGUGUACAGUACUACAUUGAUUUUAUAUCAUACUGUACUUAAAUAGACAUGAAGAAUAGUACAGUAACCAAUUUACAAACAAUUCAGCAUACAAACGGCCAUCUUGAACUUAACUUGUUUGUAAGUAGGAUGGUGUCUAUAUUAAAAUUUUCAUAUGUUGUGCAAAAUCCAUCACCAUUUACUAAAUUCUGAAAUUGAAAGCGAGUUGAAAAUAACAGCUACAAGAUAUUUUUUCCAAGUUUAGCUACCAAGAAUGAGGGUCAAGAUAUUUUGAAGUGGAUCAAUUUGGUAGCAAAAACUAGUGUUAAUGCUAAAAUGUCCUGCUCAUUUGGUUUCUAGGACACCACUAAUAGAGUUAAGUAAUAUUGUGUGAUAACCAGCAUUUUAGUUGUCAGAAGGUUUGAAGGGCAGUUAUUCUAAAUACCGUAUAUACUUGCAUAUCCUACGACUUUUGAAGACCUAACAUUGGAGUUAAUUUUAAGGGGGUCGCAUCAUACCCGAGAUAUAAAAUUAGAGUAUGUAAUAAUCACAUAUUAGUAUUGUAUGAUAAAAUACAAACCAAAUGAAUAUGCACCUUUUCCAUGGAUCUUUUAAUUAGUUAUACUUUACUUCACUGCAUCCAAUAAUAAUAUAUGUAUUUUCAUAUUACUAUUUAUUUGCAUUAUAAAAUACAAACAUAGCAAUCAAUGUUUUGGUUUGAAAAUCAGCUGAGGGCGACGAUUGUGAGGUAAGU